AUUGAACGCUGGCGGCAUGCUUUACACAUGCAAGUCGAACGGUAACAGGCCGCAAGGUGCUGACGAGUGGCGAACGGGUGAGUAAUGCAUCGGAACGUGCCCAGUCGUGGGGGAUAACUACUCGAAAGAGUAGCUAAUACCGCAUACGAUCUAUGGAUGAAAGCGGGGGACCGUAAGGCCUCGCGCGAUUGGAGCGGCCGAUGUCAGAUUAGGAAGUUGGUGGGGUAAAGGCUCACCAAGCCAACGAUCUGUAGCUGGUCUGAGAGGACGACCAGCCACACUGGGACUGAGACACGGCCCAGACUCCUACGGGAGGCAGCAGUGGGGAAUUUUGGACAAUGGGCGCAAGCCUGAUCCAGCAAUGCCGCGUGCAGGAAGAAGGCCUUCGGGUUGUAAACUGCUUUUGUACGGAACGAAACGGCUCUGGUUAAUACCCGGGGCUAAUGACGGUACCGUAAGAAUAAGCACCGGCUAACUACGUG
rnacentral:rRNA from 1 species